rnacentral:tRNA from 1 species
GCCUUAGUGGUGUAGUGGUCAGCACGCUCGACGCGUAUUCGAGAGGUCCGUGGUUCGAGUCCCGGCGAAGGCG